rnacentral:rRNA from 1 species
GACGAACGCUGGCGGCGUGCUUAACACAUGCAAGUCGAACGAUGAAGCUAGAGCUUGCUCUGGUGGAUUAGUGGCGAACGGGUGAGUAACACGUGAGUAACCUGCCCCGAACUCUGGGAUAACUGCUGGAAACGGUAGCUAAUACCGGAUAUGACCAAUGAAGGCAUCUUCUGUUGGUGGAAAGAAUUUCGGUUCGGGAUGGACUCGCGGCCUAUCAGCUUGUUGGUGAGGUAACGGCUCACCAAGGCGACGACGGGUAGCCGGCCUGAGAGGGUGGUCGGCCACACUGGGACUGAGACACGGCCCAGACUCCUACGGGAGGCAGCGGUGGGGAAUAUUGCACAAUGGGCGCAAGCCUGAUGCAGCAACGCCGCGUGAGGGACGACGGCCUUCGGGUUGUAAACCUCUUUCAGUAGGGAAGAAGCGAAAGUGACGGUACCUGCAGAAAAAGCACCGGCUAACUACGUGCCAGCAGCCGCCGUAA